UACGGGGGUGGCAAGCGUUGUUCGGAAUUACUGGGCGUAAAGGGCGCGUAGGCGGUCGUGACAAGUCACUUGUGAAAUCUCCCGGGCUUAACUCGGAGCGGUCAAGUGAUACUGUCGGACUAGAGUACAGAAGGGCAACUGGAAUUCUCGGUGUAGCGGUGAAAUGCGUAGAUAUCGAGAGGAACACCUGCGGCGAAGGCGGGUUGCUGGGCUGACACUGACGCUGGAACUGCGAAAGCUAGGGGAGCGAACGGG
rnacentral:rRNA from 1 species